rnacentral:tRNA from 1 species
GGGCGUGUAGCUCAGCUGGGAGAGCGCUACCUUCGCAAGGUAGAGGCCGCAGGUUCGAUCCCUGUCACGUCCACCA